ACACGAUUUGUUUCUUAAGCCAGCGGAAC
rnacentral:sRNA from 1 species